rnacentral:misc_RNA from 1 species
AAAGGCUUCUGCAUAAAUUGAAUUUUCCACACAAGUAACAUGAUAAACACAAGAAACAAAUCACAAUGAUAAAGAAUAAUUGUAUGAUCUGAUCCCAUCUAAGUGUCAUACUCAAAACAGAAAACUCAUCAGCUAUUGAAUAUGCCCAUAAAGCAACAGACAAUUUCAGCAACUGAAACAUUUAAAAAUGAGAAUAAUCCUACUUUGAAUUGAGACACAAGUGAGAAUGAUUUGGGGCUUUCAGUCCUAUUUUAAAUUGCAUAUUUUGUCCAGUGAAAGAUUCAAAUUCAUGAAAUUAGUGUAAUGACCAUCCAGUGGUCUCAUUUUCACGUUGCAAUUCACAAUCCAUUGGUAAUUGGUAUUCUGAACUAAAGCAUUCCCCAAAAGCAACCACACACGCAGAGCAGAAAUAUUAAACAUUCUUUCAAAAACAAAGUCAGUUAGGCAUGCACGCGCGCACACACACAUAGCAGAAACAUUAAACAUUCUUUCAAGAAUAAAGGUGAAGCAAGUUAAUACAUUUCUGUAUUAAAAGAACUUGACAUAAAUUCAGUUAGGCAAAGGUUAGGUUCUGGUGGUGAGUAACUGAGUAUAUCAUUUACGCAAAGUUGAAGACUUGAAAGGUUUGAGAAAUUGGGAGAAACCACUGAAUAAAAAAUAGCACUAAUUCUACAUCUAAAAUUUGAACCAAAGUUACAAAUAGCUAUUGGAUGCAAAAUAACAACUAUUCAAUGUCCCUGUCAUUCCAUCAAUCAAGUAAAGCUUAAAAGUAUUCCUAGUAAGACAAUUUGGCUUCAUCAUUGUUGGAAUUGAUGAGAUUUUU